AACGAACGCUGGCGGCAUGCCUAACACAUGCAAGUCGAACGAGACCUUCGGGCUUGGUGGUGCACGGGUCCGUGACCGGUGGGAACAUGCCUAUAGAUUUGGAAUAACUUCCCGAAUGGGGUGCUAAUACCGGAUCUUGUACCCGGUCCAUAGGUUUGUCGCAUUUGGGUGGGCUUCGGUUGUAUUAGCUGGAUGGUAGCGUAAAAGCCUAUCAAGGCGACGAUCGGUAGCUGGUUAGAGAGGAUGCUCAGUCACACUGGCGCUGAGACACGGCCGAGAAUCCUACGGGAUGCAGGAGUGGGGGAUAUAGGACAACGGGCUGAGUGCUGAACCAGCAAUGCCGCGUGAGUGAUGAAAGCCGUAGGGUUGUAAAGCACUUUUACCCGGGGUUGUAAUGACAGUACCGAGAGAAUAAGCUCCGGCUAACUCCGUG
rnacentral:rRNA from 1 species